AUGAGUGGCGCUCCAUUGUUCAUAGACGAGCUCACCCAAAGAGCGGAAGCACAAAAGAAGCGGAAGAGCAUUCGCACCGGUUCAUAUACACAAGAUGAGGACAAGUUGAUUUGUCAAUGUUGGAUGGAGAUUAGCCAAGAUCCAAGGACCGGAGCGCAACAAAAGGGCAUUGUUUUUUGGACGAGAGUCCAUAAAACAUUCCAUGAAAGGAAGAUGUUUGAGCCCUACCAAAUUACAAGCAACCGUGGCAUCGGUUCGAUUCAAAAAUGAUGGUUGUUCAUCCAACAAGAGUGCAACAAGUAUUGUGCCGCAUUUGAGAGCGUUGAAGCAUGGCCCGUGAGUGGUCUCGGCGUUGGGGACAUGGUAUGCUCUUCUCUUUCUAGCCCUUUCCUUGCUACGGCCAUGAUACUUCGGCCGUGUAUAUGUUUGCAUGUUCACUUGUUGUUGAUCAUGUGGUGUAGGCAUUUCAAUCUUUGGAGGCAUUCAAGGCCCGGCACAAUGACAAGCCAUUCACUCUUACGCAUUGUUGGACGCUCAUCAACAAUUGCCCUAAGUUCAAGGAUCAAUACCGUGAACUUCAAAGGAAGAGAGGCAAGAAAACGGCCAAGUUCGCCGAAGGUGGUGAUGGAGAGGCGUUGA
rnacentral:rRNA from 1 species